GUUCUUUACCACUGAACCACCUGGGAAGCCCAAUGUUAAUACAAAUGAGUAAAAUCCUGUCAAACCCAGGAAUACUACAGUAGCAUCUCAAGGGACAUGGACUGAAGCAAGGAACAGAGGAGAUCACAACUCCCAGCAACUGCAACGUUUCUCCCAGCGGUGUUUCGGCUACAUGUGUGGCCAAGCUGCCUUCAGAAGGCGGCGAGACAAAGGACUUACCUUGGAUUUCUUUCAAUCUGAACAAGAGAGCUAUUUGCACAGCGUGCCCUGCCUCUGUCCUUCUGUCUGCUGCUCAGAUCAUAUCAUCACCCAGAUGGACUUGCAGACCCUAGCCUGGGGUGGCUGGGUUCUCCCUGGCGUGGGAUUUCUGUCACUUACUCUGUGAGGGCCACCUGUGCCUUGUUCAAGAACAGCCCAAAAGAAGGCCAAGCGGCCACUUACUGUGGUGAGAGCAAGGCAAUGCUAGUGGUAAAUAGGCCGGGGCACUUUCAACAGUUCAAAGGCCAAAUUACAGCGGCCAGAAGACAAGACCGGAUGGCUCACAAGCCGGGAAUGGUCAAGGGCCAUUUCCUUCUGUGCACGUAGAUGUUUGCUCCUUGGGCUUCGAGGAUUCCUUCCCUGGGUCAAAGCCUGGAUCAGCGAGCCUCGUCCCGCAGUGGGAGGCUGGGCCUCCCGGUGAGUUGCCCACAGGCUGCUCCAGCUCACCCA